CCUCACCAGAGAAGCUGUGGGUUCCCCAUCCCUGGAAGUGUUCAAGGACUUGGAGCAACCAGAUCUAUUGGAAGUAGCACCUAGUGGCCAGGGCUAUGAAAACACACAGAAAAAAGAAGAAUUCCUGCCAAAAAACCCCUAAAUACUGCUGAGCUCAACCAAGAAACAACAGGUGGUCAUGUAUGACUGCUGCAGCCAGCACAAGGGAUGAAAGAAAUAAUCAGAGGAAAAAUGAGCUCGUUUCUGUCAUCUGCUGCCACCAUCUGCAAAUCCAGCAGCAACAUCUUUGAAAUAGAGGAUUAAAUCCACCCACUUCUCUUGUUUCUGCCUUCCCUCCCAGUGUGGUGGGUGGUUAUGAGCCAGCAAGGGGGCAGCUGG